UACGAAGGGGGCUAGCGUUGCUCGGAAUGACUGGGCGUAAAGGGCGCGUAGGCGGCAUGUACAGUCAGGCGUGAAAUUCCCGGGCUCAACCUGGGGACUGCGUUUGAUACGUGCAGGCUAGAGUGGGGAAGAGGGUCGUGGAAUUCCCAGUGUAGAGGUGAAAUUCGUAGAUAUUGGGAAGAACACCGGUGGCGAAGGCGGCUCACUGGCACGAUACUGACGCUGAGGUACGAAAGUGUGAGGAGCAAACAGG
rnacentral:rRNA from 1 species